UUUCAUGGACUUUGGGGUUUCCUGUGAUUACUAAGAAGUCAAUUUUGACACCGAUUCAGAGCACAAAACGGUUACAUUUUACUGUAUGCACACUGAGUCAAACUUUGAAUAGACCUUUGUCGAAAGAAAGAAAGAAAGAAAGAAAGAAAGAAAGAAAGAAAGAAAGAAAGAAAGAAAAUGUCUUUGUCAGUUAGUUUUUAAAAAAUCAAAUAUAAUCUGUGCCCUCAGGAACAACAUGCAAAUAUUUCUGGGUUCAUGAGUUAUUAGCAACUUUCUUCUGUCACAUUAUUUUCCAGAUACAUUCAGGCAUAAACUGGAAUUUUCAGGAGACUGGAAUUCAUAAGUGGAUCUGUCUAUUUAGCUACCCAAGAUCUGGAAUGGUAGAAAUGGAAUAUGAUUUUCAGUUACACAAUUAUAUUUCAUUUCAAGAUCCUUAUCAAGGGGACAUUCAAUAUUGGAGAAUAAUUAUUUUAAACCUUAAACCUACUAAAUACAGCAGUAGUGCCAAAUACAAUUUAACCAAAAGAAAAGAAAAGUGUUAUAUAUCAUACAGCAUUGGAAAGGUACCACUACAGAACUGGUUUAUAGAGUGAGAAAUAAUAAGUAUUUUUAAAAAUGAUAUCUGGCUACAUAUAUAUAUAUAGGUGCCAGGGGUCUCCUGACCUUGCACAGCCUGUACAAGGGCCUAUCUCAGUUAAAAUCCUUAAACUUAAAAGUAAGAAAGAGGCUCAGAGCUACUCAUGAGGAGCAGAGCCAAGAAGCACAAGACCAUCUAAUUUGCAAGUGAUUAGUUCAUAUAAAUAUAUAAUUAAAACAAGGCCUCUUUGAAAAAAAAAGAAUUAGUAUUUUAAAAAAAGAGGCAGUUACAAAUGCUCAUUCUACUGUUUGCUACACAACUAUGGAUAAACUACUCUGUGGUAACUCUAAAAAGAAAGAUGCAAAGUCUGCCUUAGUUUUUUCCAGUUUUAUUUACAGUUCAGCAGCUUCGGUUUGAAUACAGGACAGCUUCUCUCUGAUGUCUCCAGCCACUGAAAAUCAAUCCUGCUCCCUAGGACCAGCCAAGCCUCAUAUUUCUGUGCAUAAGUUCUCCUGAAGUUGCAGCUCUCCCACUGACAAACAGUUUGAUCCAACAGAAAACAAAUGGGUAAUUUGCACGGAGCAAUAAUAUCCCACUUGAAAUUCUUUGGUGAAUCUACAAGGAAUCAUACAAUAACAUGAAGUCACAAAAUCUUUAAGCCCCAUAGAAGCAAGCAUUUCCACUGAGGUUGACAUAUUGUUCCAAGGAGUUGUUCAGGAUCUAUUAAAGAGUUAGCUUGAUAAGGUGGUCACAUAUUUAACAUUUUUCAAACACACACAGAAAGAGCUAUCAGUAAGGGUCCAGCACUGGCUCAACAGCAAGAUGACCUGUUCAGCAGAAAGGUCAGCCUACAAGGAAACCUCAUACCGAAGGAAAAAACCUGCUCCACAAUGGAAAGAUAAAGAACUGCUUGCAGGAGAUAGCUCAUUUCAUACAAAUGAUCUCCCCACCUCUUGUGCUCCACAGUUCCCCACUCUUACAUAUAGCUCAAUACACCUAGAGCCAUGUAAUCCAGGAGAUCUACUACAGGGACAUCUUAGACACAGGAGAGGAUCCAUGGAUUUUGGAAUAGAAAGGGUGAGACCGAAUGUGACCUGGCUGGAGAGCUGGAAUGAGAAGAAGCAGACUCCUGGACAAGGGGGUACUGGAGGAGGAGACUAUUGUGGUUUGUCCACCAACAAGGGGGUAUGCUAGCUGGAACACUUGAGUAACCUGGAUCCUACUGUCAAAAUUGGUCAUGAAAAGCAGAUCUCAAAGUUGUAUAUGCAAGUAUGGUAGGGGCAGAAGCCAAACUUCAAAUGUGCAUGUACACCCUCCUCUGUAUGGGAACAGAAAACAAGGGUCAUAGUGGAGUUAGGCACCAAAUGCUUUGAGGCUCUGGGCUGCUGUGACUUAUCUGACAAGGCACAGCUAUGUAAUGCAGUUUGAUCCUGGAAUAGCUGUGACUAGUCCAUAGAGGUAAAAAAACUGAAAAUAUACAUGAAUAACACACUGAGGGAAGCAUGAGCUGCUUGCUUUCCCCAUACAACAAUCAAAUACACUUAAUCACACAAUCAAGCUCAGGUCAAAUUGUCUGGAACAGCCUGUUUACUGCUGGCAAGUGGGCAUAUCAGUAUACACCUUGAGCCACUAAAAGCAUAGCUACUAGUAGGACCUAGUGACAAUAAUCCCAUUUCUGUCACUUGCUUCUCCCAUCAUGCUCUUUUUUUUUUUAAAUACAUGUGAGCAGACAUGGGUAUGAAGGCGAGUAGUUGGCAAUAACUGGUAUGGGGGAUGAGUGUAGGGGUUGCAUGUUAUGUAUAUCUAAAGUCUUCAGGGCAUGCUGGAGGGUGUUCCCCAUCUAACAUGGUAGCUCAUCUUAAUGGGGAGUGAUGGGAAUGACAGCAUAGUUUAGGAUGCAGAAUCCAUUCUACUCUGCUCGAACUGUGCGUGUGUGGUGGUGGUAGUGUUGUUUUGUUUUUGUUUUUUGUUUGUUUGUUUUAAAUCUUAACUUUCAUGAUAAAACCAGCUAUGUACUUCUCACUAUGCAUGUGGAAUUAAUAACCAGACUAGCAUGGUCAUGCAGUAGUGUGAUUCUUAAAAUGCCAAUGCAUUUAUUAAUCCUUAUACCAGUGACAAGACUCCAACUUUCCUGCUUCAGACAAUCUCUCUCCCCCCUUCCUGGCAUGUCCCUGAUUUCCUCCCUUCUAGCCACAUACAAAUUGGACAACUCUUCUAUCGCUUAUCAAGCUAUCCUAGAUUUCCUUUAGGGCAGAUGCUAUCUGCACCUGAUGAGGAUGCAUUUCUUGUGGGUUCACAACAGAACCUGGAGGUGACUUAAUUCAUGUCCCUGAAUGGACUCCAGUCUGUUGUGAUUGCAUCCAGUCACUUCAUUAUCCCAUGGCUUUUUGUUUUGUUUUAAUGUCUGGAUUACAGACAC